UAUUUAUUAGGCGCUUUGUAUUUUCAGGAUGUUUGCAAUCUACACACAUUUAUAUUUGAAUACAAUGAGCUCAUUGCUGCUUCAUUCGAUUUGAUGGAGUGCAAUUCAUUUUGGACAAUACAAACAGCUAUUUAUUGUUGCGUCAAUUACUUCAAUGAGAUAACAAGUGUAUUUGUAUAAUAGAUUCACUGCCCACCAGUCCAUUUAUUUCUAUCACCGUCAUCUUAUCGCAGUUUAAUCUGUUCCGCUCAGGUUAGUUGAUCGCAUACAGUUGAUCGAGCCAUAAAUUGCAAAAUGUUUCGAACGUUGUGCAUUUCAAUCGUUUUAUUUUUAGUCACGGUCAAUGGGUACGAGGUGCAUAAAACCAAAGACAUAACUAUACACUAUGCGGAAGGUGAUCGAUGUGGAUAUAAUCGUCAGUAUACGUAUUGUGGAAAUUUGUGUAACACAACGUGCAGUACAUGGAAUUAUUUAUGUGAGCCGGAAUGUUAUCGCGGAUGUUUAUGCUCACCGGGUCACGCUGAAACUCGAAUAUUUGGUGGAACAUGUGUUCCAAUCAACUCGCCGCUUUGCAAAUGGGAUCGAAUGAGAAGAAACUAAUGACACAAUUACAAUCAAUUAGUAGCUAAUGCAGUCAAUUAAUUGGUUCAAGUGCAAUUUUUUUGUAACUUUGUACGAUUUUAGAUAAUUUCUAAUAAAGCGACGAGCAUAUUCAUGUUUGUCAAACAUUGUUUGAAUAAGAAA